AUUGAACGCUGGCGGCAGGCCUAACACAUGCAAGUCGAGCGGAUGAAGGGAGCUUGCUCCUGGAUUCAGCGGCGGACGGGUGAGUAAUGCCUAGGAAUCUGCCUGGUAGUGGGGGAUAACGUCCGGAAACGGGCGCUAAUACCGCAUACGUCCUGAGGGAGAAAGUGGGGGAUCUUCGGACCUCACGCUAUCAGAUGAGCCUAGGUCGGAUUAGCUAGUUGGUGGGGUAAAGGCCUACCAAGGCGACGAUCCGUAACUGGUCUGAGAGGAUGAUCAGUCACGCUGGAACUGAGACACGGUCCAGACUCCUACGGGAGGCAGCAGUGGGGAAUAUUGGACAAUGGGCGAAAGCCUGAUCCAGCCAUGCCGCGUGUGUGAAGAAGGUCUUCGGAUUGUAAAGCACUUUAAGUUGGGAGGAGGGGCAGUAAGUUAAUACCUUGCUGUUUUGACGUUACCAACAGAAUAAGCACCGGCUAACUUCGUG
rnacentral:rRNA from 1 species